rnacentral:sRNA from 1 species
GCCAGGUGCAGUGGUGCACACCUGUAAUCCCAGUGGCUCAGGAGGCUGAGGCAGGAGGAUUAGCAAAAGUGAGGCAUUAAGCAACUUAGUGAGACCCAGUCUCUA